UUUCGAGGGGGGACUCGAUUUGUCACCACACCGGACGAAUUUAGGAGACGGACUCGCGCGUGCGUACAUGUUUGUGGGAGGAGCCAGCACCGAAACACGAAAAUUAUUAAUGAAAUCAUUAUAUUGUAAGUAUAGGCGUUUGUAUGGAGGUCUCUCUCGUUUUCAGCUCCUCUUACAUACCAUAAAAGGUGUGAGAAACAUGCUACAAUGAAAGAAAAAAACGGAAAAAUCAAUAACUGCACAAACAGACCACACCCUCUAAAGUUUCUGGAACAAGAUUCAAACUGAUUUUAUAUUUCAGGAAGAGACACUAAUAAGCUGCACAUGAUACGCCUAAAGGAAGCUGCACAAGAGUUGUCAUGGAAAUCUUACCAUUUGAGGAGGUGGAGCGUGUUGCUGGUGCCAAAAUACAGCUGCAGCAAGGUGGUGUCACUGGUAUUCAACAGUAUGGCUAUUACAACAUCAUCUCUGCACCUCAUCAAGGUUUCUCAGAAGACUCCAGUGAUGAGGAUGACUACAUGGCACCACUGGCACCUAAAAGUGAGGAAGGCUCUGUGUGCUGUGUUUGUGAAGAAAACAUCCCCUUACUGAACAAACUGAUAGAGCACUUCAAGACGCACACAGCUGAGGUGUAUUGCCACCUGUGUCGGACAAAGUUUGGACGCGUUAUGUCGCUGGCGAUACACUUAAAAAAUGCCCAUCCAAGGCACAGUUUCAUGUGUGGAAUCUGCAGAACUCUCUUUAGGUGCACAUGGCAUCUGAAUGGACAUAUGGAAAAGCAUCAGAAAGAUGCAAUGGAGGUAAAACCUGUGGUUAAAAUGGAACAGACAGAAGAAAUCAGCAUCAAAGAGAACAUAAGAUACACUGAUAUGAGAAAAAUAACCUUGAGGGAUCAUUCAUAUUGUGUCUCAGAUCAAGUAGCUACAAAUGACACUUGUAAUGCCAUCCAGAAACACAUCGACAAUGAUACAAACUCCACAAAUCAAGUGUCACACAUCAAAACACAAACCGAAAGAUUGCCUAUUAUUGACAAACAAAACGAUACCUUGAGCUUUUCCUCAUGCCCUUUGAAUCAAUCAGAGCAAGAGCAUCUAAGCUUUAAACUGAAGGAAGAGGAUGAGGAUGAGGAUGGGCUCGGAGAAACUGCAGCUUGUGAGGUGGCUGCAGAGGAGGAAACUGGACUGAUGGAGGAUGACGAAAGUACCGACACUGAUGAUGAUGUCAACACUGACUCACUACCCCCUGGUGACACGGCGUACAACCUGGAUGAGGACUUCAGCUCAGAACCUAAUGACAGUGACUCAAGAAGCAGCUCCUACGGCCAUCACCAAAAGAGACGAAAGAAACAGACUCCCGACAGUAAAAGACCUGCAAAUAGGAAUCUAGAGUCAGUUGACAUAGCAGAGAAAUUUGGGUUUCAGUUCGAUUCUCCCUUUUGCUGCUAUGGCAAAUUCGCUAAUUUGGAGAAGCACAUCGAUGAUUGCAGGAUCAAACUGAGAUUUGCUUGUUGUCUGUGCAGCAUGGUAUGUGAGAAUGAAGAGUUGCUGCUGAAGCACACGACUGAAAAACACCCCGCAGCUGGGUAUUUCUGUGCAUACUGCCACAGUGUUUUUCCUAGACUGGACAGUUACAAAAAUCAUGUCUGUUUGAGAAGACCAACAGGCAGCAUGAACUUGCCGGCCACCGUGCUAACCCAGUUACCUGUCGUGCCUUUAUCCGGUCAAGUAAGACCUUCUGCUCCUGCUUUGUAUGCCAAUCAAAACUCCAUUAAAAUGAUCAAAAUAACUCCGGCAGUGAAUAAAAUUUCCCUAGCCCCUGAUCCUCCACAUUUGACGCUGCAGCAAUUGCUUCAGACAACUCCUUUGGUUCCUGCUAAGGUGACAGAUUUGGUUCCACAAUUUGUGGCUGUGCCGCAAACUCUUAUCAGGCCCCAUUUCCCUCAAAGUUCUUGUGUCGCUCGUCCGAAAGUUCCUGUCCAUAUACCUUCAGUAGUGCGUCCCUUGAUGCCGAAUCUGGCCAGGAUGACUCUUCGUAUCCCUACCCCUUCCAAUCCACCUUUUCCAAGUCAAGUCGUCGUAUCCUUCUCACCCACAGUGAACGUCUUAGCACCCUGUCUAGUUUCAACCAACAGGCCUGUUCUGAGACAAACGCCUCCUGCUAAUAUUAGACCCCUACCUGUAAACGUCCCGCUGAUGACCUCAGUCACUUGUCCCACCCUGGUCAUUGCUCUUACUGACCACAACCAGCCACAGAUCCCUCCUGCCCAGGUUCAGGCUCCGUUACAAAUAGUGGCCAUGUUUGUGAACCAAAGCAGGGAUUUGGCUCUGCAGAAGCGACCCGAGCAGAGCUGGCGGUCCAAGACCAUCUUCCCCUGCCGCCACUGUGGUGCCGUCUCAAGACAACCGUCGCUGAAGGUGCGUCACCGCUACUUACACCGUGGGUCAAGGUUGUACAGAUGUCAGUGUGGAAGGUCGUUCCAAAGGCAGCUGCAUUUGCUGAGACACCAGGUCCAGCAUGCGGAGUCAGUCCGAUUUGUUUGUGCACGGUGCGGAAAUACAUUCGAAGGGGCGCAUAAAUUGACCUGCCACAAACGGAAGCAUAGAAAUGGUAGGUGGUGUGUGAAGAAGAAAUGCAAGGCGGCUUUUGACUGUAGCUGUGGACAGAUGUUUACAAGGCCAUCUGCACUGUUGUGGCAUAUGCUUAAAAACUCGAAACUUUCAAAACACACUCGAAAAAAUUCACAAUCUGUCUCUGUUUGAAUUGUUUGUGUAAAUGAGACACACAUAAGAUUGAAAACUCACCUUUCAAUCAACUGCAAAUAGUUUUUUUUUGUCUUUGGCCCUAAUUGAUCUUUCUGUGUUAUUAUGUGGUCAACAGUAGUGUAUCUGAUUUUUUUUGUUUGUUUUUGUUUUUUUUUUCCAAAUCCAUAAUAGCACAAAUAGUAACAUUUUAACCCUAAAGAUAAGUUUUGUAUCAGAAGAAAUGUGAUGUGAGCACUGGUAUAAUUUCUUUAUCAUUUUUUUUCUUUGUCAUAAGAUGGAUGUGACUACUGAAAGAAUGCUUAGUGAGAGUAUAAGUAUUUAAGCAAGCUCUCAUUUAUUAAUGACCAAAAACACACUUUUAAAAAUUUUUUAUAGGGGUUUUGUGUUGUAAGGUAAUGAUUCAUUCUAACCCAUUUGUAAUAAAAAAUUGUACAUAAAUACACAGAGAAAUGUUCUGUUUUUUAAAGCGUUCUCGUCAUCAUGUAGUUGGGAAAACACAAAAUGAUGUUAACAUGAGAUGGCUUUAUUAAAAUGUGCAAAAUUAAUGCUGUAAACGUUUUUCCGUCAUUUUCUCCUGCCAUUUGUUUAUGUAUAUUUCACAAUACAACAUGCAAAACUGAAUUCCUGAUCAACUUAUCUUGAUUCUGAAGCGAUAAAAAUGUUCUGGUUUGCUUCACUAUGUUCCUGGAUAAGCAGCAACAGUUAAUGAUUGGUGAAAUAAUGAGUCGUGUGCUAUUCAUAUGCUUCCCUCCUACCAGCAGUUUCAAAUAUGCGAAGACAGCAGUAAAACUAAGACAAAGUUCCUGUUUGUUUAUAAAAAAAACUACAUACAACAGACCUGACCUCUUUUCUUAUUCCCAUUGCCCUCAUAUAAUCAUUAUACUGCAUACACAUCUAGCUAUUGAGUCUAUUUUGAAAUUAUUAUUU
rnacentral:lncRNA from 1 species